rnacentral:rRNA from 1 species
CGGCGAGUGAGCGGCAAGAGCUCAAAUUUGAAAUCUGGCCUCUUUGGGGUCCGAGUUGUAAUUUGCAGAGGAUGCUUCGGGAGUGGUCCCCAUCUAAGUGCCCUGGAACGGGACGUCAUAGAGGGUGAGAAUCCCGUAUGGGAUGGGUGGCCGCGCCCGUGUGAAGCGCCUUCGACGAGUCGAGUUGUUUGGGAAUGCAGCUCUAAGCGGGUGGUAAAUUUCAUCUAAAGCUAAAUACUGGCCGGAGACCGAUAGCGCACAAGUAGAGUGAUCGAAAGAUGAAAAGCACUUUGAAAAGAGAGUUAAAUAGCACGUGAAAUUGUUGAAAGGGAAGCGUUGUCCACCAGACUCGCCCGGGAGGGUUCAGCUGGCACUUGUGCCGGUGUACUCCCUUUCGGGCGGGCCAGCAUCGGUUUGGGCGGCCGCUAAAAGGCCUCGGGAAUGUAGCACCCUCCGGGGUGCCUUAUAGCCCGGGGUGACAUGCGACCUGCCUGGACCGAGGUUCGCGCUUCGGCGAGGAUGCUGGCGUAAUGGUGGUCAACGGCCCGUCUUGAAACACGGACCAAGGAGUCUAACAUCUAUGCGAGUGUUCGGGUGUCAAACCCGUCCGCGCAGUGAAAGCGAACGGAGGUGGGAACCCUUUGGGGUGCACCAUCGACCGAUCCUGAAGUCUUCGGAUGGAUUUGAGUAAGAGCAUAGCUGUUGGGACCCGAAAGAUGGUGAACUAUGCCUGAAU